UGGGGGAUAUUGCACAAUGGAGGAAACUCUGAUGCAGCAACGCCGCGUGAGGGAAGAAGGUCUUCGGAUUGUAAACCUUAGUAGUCAGGGACGAAAGAAAUGACGGUACCUGAAAAGUAAGCUCCGGCUAACUACGUGCCAGCAGCCGCGGUAAUACGUAGGGAGCGAGCGUUGUCCGGAUUUACUGGGUGUAAAGGGUGCGUAGGCGGGACUGCAAGUCAGGCGUGAAAUACCGAGGCUUAACCUCGGGGCUGCGUUUGAAACUGCGGUUCUUGAGUGAAGUAGAGGCAGGCGGAAUUCCUAGUGUAGCGGUGAAAUGCGUAGAUAUUAGGAGGAACACCAGUGGCGAAGGCGGCCUGCUGGGCUUUAACUGACGCUGAAGCAC
rnacentral:rRNA from 1 species